CUCCACCCCUCUGUGUAGUAGUCCUUUCCCUGGGAUGGGGCAAGAGCCCUCUAGAAUGAGACUCCUACUUUGGGGAAAGGCUUCUGGAAUUUUUUGAACUCUUCUGAGACCAAAAGAGAAAUAGAUCAAAGAAGACCUCUGACCUUGAUUGUGACCUUCUGAAAGACCACUGGACUCUUCAGCAAACUACAGCAAUGUUCCUACAAAACGAGAGUCAGUCCUAAAGAUGGUAGACGAGGCAUUGAGUUUCUGUUUUUUGGGACUUGAAAAGAGAAACCAGGAACUACAAUAAAAUGCCCCUGUCCCAUGACCCUGCCAGGUCUUCAGGAAAAUGAACCCCUCAAAAGCGACAAGAUAUCCUAACAGAGCAGGCAGAAGACUCCUGAGCUGGGAGGAGCUCUCCCACCCAGUGGCCCCAUCAGAGGAAAGAGGGGUUGCCUAGUCAUCUGUUCGUCUCAGGGGCUGUCUGGGACUUCCGGCCUGGAUUCCUGAACUGGAAACACCUGAAAAGCAAGUUGUUCUAGGCACCGGUUUGGUGACUCCGUCAUCCUCCUGUGCAGAGGACCACACUAAGUCCCCGCUGUCAUCCUUGGGGCAGAUCUGAAGAAGGGUGCAGAUGGCUUACAGAUUGGACCAAAGAACAAAAGACCAAGGAGCCUGUGGAAGGAACAGAAGAGCCGUCUCCUGAAAGCCGAGAAGACAGAUGAUUUGCAGCCAGAAUUUGAUACAUGUAUCUGGGCUGAGCUAGAGUGAAAAUGGGAGCCAGGCCCAUAAAGGGGAGUCUGUAAACUUCAAAACUUCAAGAUGAAGGAACACAGCGCUGAAAUGAAAGGCAGAGAAGUGGAUGCCCACAAAAACGGCCCUUCCCCCUGGGUUGGAAACACACCUUGAAGCUCCGGGAAUAUACAGGAAUCUCCCUCUCCGCAGUCACUCCCUGAGCAUCCCCCAAACUGCAGAGACUGGCCAAGAAUGAGAAAACAAAAGAGUCACAUGAUAUGGAGGGAAGGAUUAUUAACUUGUUUUUCUGCCUCUUAAAAAGUGGUAAUUAUCAU